UUAAUGGCUUUUCUAAAAGCCACCCAAGCUCUGUUCACCAGGUGA
rfam:Chelonia mydas contig211141, whole genome shotgun sequence.